CAUCUUCAGGGCGGGGCGCAAUUCCCCACCGGCGGUAUAGCCCGCGAGCCGAAAGGCAGAUCCGGUGAAACUCCGGGGCCGACAGUAUAGUCUGGAUGAAAGAAGAU
rnacentral:ncRNA from 1 species